GACGAACGCUGGCGGCGUGCUUAACACAUGCAAGUGGAGCGACGAACCAGGGCUUGCCCUGGGGCAAAGCCGCGAACGGGUGAGUAACACGUGGGUAACCUGCCCCGAUGACCGGGACAACCCGAGGAAACUCGGGCUAAUACCGGAUGAGCUCACGCCACAUCAGUGGCAUGAGGAAAGGAAGCUUCGGCCUCCGCAUUGGGAUGGGCCCGCGGCCCAUUAGCUUGUUGGGGGGUAAAGGCCUACCAAGGCUUCGAUGGGUAGCUGGUCUGAGAGGACGAUCAGCCACACUGGGACUGAGACACGGCCCAGACUCCUACGGGAGGCAGCAGUGGGGAAUCUUGCGCAAUGCGCGAAAGCGUGACGCAGCAACGCCGCGUGCGGGAAGACGGCCU
rnacentral:rRNA from 1 species